rnacentral:rRNA from 1 species
GUGUCAGCCGCCGCGGUAAUACAGAGGUCCCAAGCGUUGUUCGGAUUCACUGGGCGUAAAGGGUGCGUAGGUGGCCAGGUAAGUUCGGUGUGAAAUCUCGGAGCUUAACUUCGAAAAGUCAUUGAAUACUAUCUGGCUGGAGGGUCGGAAGGGAGACUGGAAUUCUCGGUGUAGCAGUGAAAUGCGUAGAUAUCGAGAGGAACACCAGUGGCGAAGGCGAGUCUCUGGACGACUCCUGACACUGAGGCACGAAAGCCAGGGGAGCAAACAGGAUUAGAAACCCUGGUAGUCC